rnacentral:rRNA from 1 species
CCUACGGGAGGCAGCAGUGAGGAAUAUUGGUCAAUGGGCGGAAGCCUGAACCAGCCAAGUAGCGUGCGGGAUGAAGGCCCUACGGGUCGUAAACCGCUUUUGCACGGGGAUAACACCCUCCACUUGCGGAGGACUGCAGGUACCGUGCGAAUAAGGGCCGGCCAAUUCCGUGCCAGCAGCCGCGGUAAUACGGCAGGCCCGAGCGUUAUCCUUCUUCAUUCGGCUUAAAGGGAACGUAGGCGGGCGUUCACGUCAGCUGUAAAAUCGCGCGGCGCAACCGCGCGCCGAAGUUGAAACUGGACGCCUUGAGGUCACAACAGGCAGGCGGAAUUCGUGGUGUAGCGGUGAAAUGCAUAGAUAUCACGAGGAACCCCGAUGGCGAAGGCAGCCUGCCGGGGUGCGACUGACGCUGAGGCUCGAAGGUGCGGGUAUCAAACAGGAUUAGAUACCCUUGUAGUC